rnacentral:lncRNA from 1 species
UUAUUGGUACAAUUAUCAAUGUCUAGUAAAUUCAAUGUCUUUAAUAAGGUGCAUACUAUUCAAUUAUGCAAAAUAUUGUGAAUGACAUAUAAUAAUGUCAAUUUAGUAAUACUUCAUAAAUUACAUUCGAAAUCAUAUGUUCUAGUUUGGACACAGAUGGCCAUAGUUGUAUAAGGCUCAAUUUUUCAGAUUGUUUUUUAUUCAACUGUGUACUUAAUUGACCUUC